rnacentral:rRNA from 1 species
UACGUAGGGGGCUAGCGUUGCUCGGAAUUACUGGGCGUAAAGGGUGCGUAGGCGGUUCUUUAAGUCAGGGGUGAAAUCCUGGAGCUCAACUCCAGAACUGCCUUUGAUACUGCAGAUCUUGAGUUCGGGAGAGGUGAGUGGAACUGCGAGUGUAGAGGUGAAAUUCGUAGAUAUUCGCAAGAACACCAGUGGCGAAGGCGGCUCACUGGUCCGGUACUGACGCUGAGGCGCGAAAGCGUGGGGAGCAAACAGG